rnacentral:pre_miRNA from 14 species
UGGCGGUAAACCCGUAGAUCCGAACUUGUGUUGUGUAUUUGAUAACGCAAUUCGCCUCUCGGGUGCAUCGCUGA